UCGUUUUGUUGUUGACGCCGAGAGCCCUAUCAUUUCCGUGGCUGGUAAUCUGGAUCGUGAGCGUCAAGCUGAUUACCUAUUCUGGAUUCAGGCGGUAGAUUUGGGCGGAUUACGUGACUUUUGUCAAGUCAACAUAACUCUCACCGAUAUGAACGAUGAAGCGCCAAUCUUUGUAAGAAGACUUACACUGUCACUGUCUUCGAUAACCUUGCUGCUGAUGCAGCCAUACUGAAGGGGAUUGGUGAGAACGAUUGCUCAAAUAUGACAGCGCUAAGAAUUGUUUUUUUCAUGAAGGUUGAGGCGACCGAUCGAGAUCUUGGACAGAAUGGUUCCGUUGUGUAUAGCAUCAGUUCAGAGAAUUCCAGACAUUUUAAUUUAUUUUACAUCGACUUCCGAACUGGCAUAAUUAAACUGAAGAAACCUUUUGGCACUGAAUUCACAAACGAGACGUUGUCCUCUUUCGUCGAUGCAUCGGAUGAAGGAAGCCCUUUGCAGUGGUCC